rnacentral:rRNA from 1 species
GACGAACGCUGGCGGCGUGCUUAACACAUGCAAGUCGAACGGAAAGGCCCGGCUCUUGUGGGGUGCUCGAUUGCCGAACGCGUGUGUGACACGCGAGUAACCUGCCCUUGACUUUGGGAUAACUUCAGGAAACUCGGGCUCAUACCCGAUAGGAGCUCCUGCUGCAUGGGGGGGGUUGGAAAGUUUCGGCGUUGGGGGAUGGACUCGCGGGUUAUCCGCUUGUUGGUGGGGUAGUGGCUUACCAAGGCUUUGACGGGUAGCCGGCCUGGGAGGGUGACCGGGCACAUGGGGACUACGAGACGGCCCAGACGGGAACGGGCGGCAGCGGUGGAGAAUAUUACGCAAUGGGCGGAAGCCUGAUGCAGCGACGCCGCGUGCGGAAUGACGGCUUUUGGGUUGUAAACCGCUUUCGCCUGUGACGAAGAGUGAGUGACGGUAACGGGUCAGAAAGCACCGGCUAACUACGUG